AGCUUCUCUCAGCCUAGAGCUUCUCAAUGCACUGUGCUGCUGCUGCGGGUGGCAGGUGGGCCCUGGUGGGGACAGUGUGAGACAGGAAGUGUGCACCACCCUUCCCUUAAGGCACAAUGCCCAAUGACUGUCCAUUGAUUUCCAAAGCCCCACUGCCCAACACAAGGCUGGUUCAGGAAACAGAUUUUAUCAGGUAACUAUUGAAGAUAACUAGAAGAAAUUACAACAGCAGGGGGAGUAACCUAACAUUUGGUGAUAAAUAGGAUCGUUUCUCAGAAGCCAAGGGAAAGGAAAAGACAGAGGAGUUUGGAGUUGGGUGUAAAAUGAACAAGAAUGAAAAGAUACUCAUUUGUCAUUAUAACCAAUAUUCAAAUAGUUAUGAGCAAUCUACUAUAUGGCAAGCACUGGUCCCAACGAGGCAUGAAAAAAAUACAGCCCUUAUUCUCCCAGGAGGUACAACCCAAGAAACUAGAAAGUUAGAAACUACAUUUUUCUCAUCGGAAGCUGCUGUUUCAGAUAUAAUUUCCCAAAGCAGAUGA
rnacentral:lncRNA from 1 species